ACUGUGUUUACGGAAGUAAAUAUGGAGGCAUCUCGUAUCAGUGUGUGUGACACUGAUAAAGUUCCUCUACAACCAAACUCAGCACCAUUACAGUCAAAUAAUUUUAAGUAGAAGAUAAAAAAGAGCAGAGCCAGGUUUUUCGCUGUGGCCUUUUGUGGUGCAGUGGCUGCUACGUCUGUACAACGGAGUAUUUGGAUGUGGAGUUGGAGUCAGGAGUGGUGUUAUAGUAAAGUAGUAACAGGUUCACA